CCGAGGGUCUCACUGUCUUAAGGAAAUUUCCAGUGAAAUUGAAUUUGUAGUGAAGAUGCUACAUCCAAAUUGUUAGACAAGAAGUCCCCAUGGAACUUUACUGGAGACUUAUGUGGCUUAAAUUAAUUUAUUUCUUACAAAUAAAUAGUUUUAAAAUGUGGUGUUAACCCCUCGGAUUAACUAGGGUUAUAAAAGCUCACUCUUUUAUUUAAAGAAAGCCAACUCAAAAAGUUAUGUCUUUGGGAUUUGAUAAGUGGGACAGUUUGGUUGGGGCGACCGCCUUUAAAAAAGUAAACGAAGGCGGGCUUAAGAUACAUAUUUAGUGAUGUCUGACUGCCAAGGGGAGAUCCUGAGCAGACACUUACUUUUUAGGUGGGUUUAAGUGACCCGUUGAUUAGGGUGAAAUAGUUAACGAUAAACA
rnacentral:rRNA from 1 species